CCCUUGUUAGCUAAGUUGGUAGAGCGCUUCUCUGUAAAUGGGGAGGUCUCGGGUUCGAUACCCCGACCAGGCG
rnacentral:tRNA from 1 species